rnacentral:rRNA from 1 species
UACGGGGGGGGCAAGCGUUGUUCGGAAUUACUGGGCGUAAAGCGCGUGUAGGCGGCUAAGUAAGUCGGGCGUGAAAUCCCACGGCUCAACCGUGGAAGUGCACUCGAAACUGCAUAGCUAGAGUCCUGGAGAGGAAGGUGGAAUGCUUGGUGUAGAGGUGAAAUUCGUAGAUAUCAAGCGGAACACCGGUGGCGAAGGCGGCCUACUGGACAGUGACUGACGCUGAGACGGCGAAAGCGUGGGGAGCAAACAGGG